UGUUUUGUUUUGUUUUGCAUUGUUUUGUUUUGUGUUUGUUUGUUUUGUUUUAAGAAACUAUUCUGCAGUAUUUUUGCCAGGUUUUGUCACAGUCCAUGUCAGUGCAUUAACUAUACUUCUUAAUGUCACUGCAAAGAAAAACCUUAUUCUAUGAUCAUGUCUGUCUUCUGUGAGUGCAGCUAGGAUUAUUCUAGACUGUGUGCAAGUGACUGUCCAUCUUUAGAUUCCAGUGGCCAUGCAGAGCCCUUUUGCUCUUUAUCUACAAGGACAGGGCUAUUGAAGACAUCAUCAGUCUUUAAGAAAAACAAGAAUGUCCCCAAAGUUUGUAUACUCCCUAUAAUAAUGCCCUAUGGCUUACAGCCAGUGCCAAAGGUAUGCUUUAUCAAUAGAGGUGAUUCCAUUCAUCAACAAUAGUGUUUUUAUUCUCCAUCUUAAAUUUGACAGAGGGGUAGCCAUACCACAUUCUUUAGAUUUGAAAUCAUCAACUCCAAGAAUCUAAAAAUAUAGUAACAAUAAAAAGUUAAUAGUGGUCCUGGCUUGGUGGCACACACCUUUAAUCCCAGUACUUGAGAGGCAGAGCCAAGUGGAUCUCUGUGAGUUCAAGGCCAGCCUGGUCUACAUAGCAAGAGAGCCUCUGUUUCAUAAACCAAAACCUGAACCAAAAUCAGUCGUCGAAAAACUGCCAACAAUCCCCACACACACACACACUGCCAAAGGCGGACAUGAAAAAGAUACAAGAUGAUCAAAGAGAGGUACUAGUCAGUGGAGUGCUAGGUUCUGCCAGCUCAGCAUCCAUUCUGUCCCUCGUGUGUAUGGCCACCUGACUGGGUCCUGAGCAGUCAAUUAUUUCCAUCAAUUAAAUGGUUUUUAAGAUAGUAGCAAAGUGACAGAAAUGUUUUUUGCCUCUUGGAAUUUAAAUACCUCUUUCUGGUCAGGUGUGCAUGGAUUUGUUUUCAACAAGAAGUGGCCCAUGCCAGGAAAUGGAGAGGCUCUGCAGAGCUGAGCGUUGUUCCUGGUGGUGACAGAUUUACCUUUCCAUGGGAGGGGACAGGCCAGGUACACUUUCAUAAGCAAGAAGUGUCCUAUUUUAAAUAAAAAAGAAACAGUGUUUCCCUAGAUCGAUAUGUGCCUCUACUUAGUUUUUACUUCUUUGGAAAUAAACUUCCAAUUUGACCCAUUUCCAGCCAGUACCAGUAAAUUGGGAUGACUUCUUCAAAAAGGGAAACCAUUCCUUCCUGCAUUUCUCUUUCUUCUCCCUGGCUCCCUGGACCUUCUGGUGGGUCAUUCAGUUCUUGGGCCACCGGAAGGGUACUCUCCCCACUCCUGGGGGCUGUAAUGGGACUAGAGGCAGAUGGAGCAGCCUUACUUUAUGUGACUGGCCUUACAGCAGGAAAAGGUGGUAGAUGCUGAAUGUGUAUGCCAAAAACAAAGGUGUGUGUGGUGGUGGUGGUGGGGUGUUCUUUAUGCAAAACAAACCCUUGGGAAUCUUUCAAGAAGUCACAUACCUUGUAAAGGGAGGAUGGUCACUCACCAAGUGAUAGGUUUUAGCUUGAAACUUCUUUUUGCCAUAAGUUUGGGGUUAUGUUACAAUAGUUGUGUUUAAAACACUACCCCCUUUAAAUUUUUUCCAAGGAUUUAGUAAGUGUAGUAUUUCUGAAUGUGCCUUUGUCAGUCCAGAGACCAACUGUGGUCUGUCAGAGUCUCCUGGCAGCCCCCAGACAGCUGUUGGAUUUUCAUGAGCGCCCAUUUUGCAUAGUGUGGUUGUGCUGAAGCGAUUCUGGGUCUCAGGCCCAGAGGUUAUGAGCAAAGCCCAGGCUAGUCCAGUGCAGGUCAGCUGUGUACUUCUGCAUUCUCUAGUUGCAUGUGUGAGUGAGUGUGUGUGUGUUUCUGUAAGCACUGGAGCAAUUGGGAUGCAGUGAUUUUGGUGAUCUGUUCAUGCAUGUAGAGAAGGCCUUUCUGGCUUUACGCUGCAGAAGGUGGAUUUUUCACCCUCUCUGCCUUAGGAGGCCCUGGUUUUCCCAAAUGCAAGUCACAGCAAUGUUGCUAUUUAUGUGAACAGGGUAUUUAUUGCACACAAAGAAAAAGGUUUUGAAAGAAUCAAGACCAGUGUUUAAAAAAGAAAACAAACUCUGAAAUCAUAUUGUAAUUAUUGAGAACUGUUGUAGUUAAACCAAGAAAUCUGUAGUCUCUUGUGUUUUUCAAUGACCCCACCUCUCCCACUCCCUAUCUUCUAAAGAAGGACCCUGCUCCACCAUCCUCAGAGCUCCCCCACAGAAGAAAGCAGUCUCCUAGGUUCCCUUAGCUUCAUUCAGGAAGACAAAGGGAGGCUUUACUCACUCCUGGUUGCCUUGGGAUGUAUUCUUAUGCAAAUGUGAAUUUAACAAGAGGUUGUUGGGUUUGUUUUUGUGGGGAUUUUUGUUUUUUCAACCACAAAAAAAGGUCCUUAUGUGGUCAUCCUUUCAUCCUUGCUCCAUUUUGUAACAUGAAUUUGUAACUAUGCAUUUUCUGAAAAGGGGAAAGAGGGGGAAAGAAGUCAAUUUGCAUCUUUAUAUUUUCCAGUUUCUGUGUCCAUGGUCCACGUCUGAGAAAGGAAGAGGAGGGGAAGCUCAACAGGUCAGCAUAGUGAGGGCAAAAGGGACCUCCCAGAUCCCGCCCUCUGGCAGGUCUAAUUUCGAAGCAAAUUGGGGGGGGGGGGAGUCUGCCAUGCCUGUCCAUCAUUAUGGUGCAGGAUUCUUGAUACUGGCCAUGCAGUGUUAACCCAGGGCAGCCAUGGAAGCUCACAGGCUCAAGUAUUCUCUGAACUCAGAACCCUUUCAAGCUCAGGAAACCAUGCCGCACUCUGCUGACCUGAGAGUUCAUCUUUACAUCAUUUUGAAAACUCCUCUUUUGCAUUUCUUUGUUGUCAAUCAUUGCGAAGGGAACCAUUCCUAGUUCUGAGCUGAGAAAGAGGGCUGUUGCCUGCUGUUGAUUGACAAAAGCAAAAAAAAAAAAAAAAAAAAAAAAAAAAAAAAGGCUUCCCUUCCCUGUCUUUUAUCGCUGAUCUCUGCUUCCCUCACCUGUACUGAGCUGGUGGUGCAGUGAGUUGUGGAGCACUGGAAGGCCUUUGUACUUCCUCUUCUUUGUUCUGACAAUUCCUUUGUGGAGUGGGACUAUGCAUUACCCUGGUCUAGGCAUUAUUACAACACAUAGUAGCAGAAGUGAGAGACGUUCAGCCUGUAUCCAGUGUUUCCCACACAGCAAUCUCUGUUAUGUUCACAGUACUGUAAUGAGUGACAGACUUGAUCACAGUCUUUUUGUGUCUGUGCGAGGUUACACAGGCAUGAUCUUAUCAGGGUUCCAAAUCUGCUCAAUUGCCUUUAAACAAAGCAAAACAACAAGAAAAUCCUGAUGUUUCAAGUGUCUGACGCAAAAUGAUACCUCAAGGUACAUUUGCCCUGCAAUGUAAACCCUUCGCUCCUCUCCUUUCUUGACAUCAGUGAGCUAUUCUUUAUAAAAUAAGCAUGUUUAAAUAACCGGAUAAGUCUUUGAAACAUUUUCUUUGCUGUGAAAAUAACCUUAAAAUAUGAUACUUGCAUUUUAAGCCAUCAGAAGUUUCAGAUCUGAAUUCUUUUCAUGUUGAAGAAGAAAAGCAAAGCAGGUCAGUGGGGUAGAGCUUUGGGUUUGUGGUAUGGCUGUUUUCUCCCAGUGUUUGUCCUCCCCACAGCACAGGACAGCAGACCACUCGCUGUGCAUGCCCUACCUAGGUGCCAUCUAUUCUAGCACCAAGGUCCCAGGAUGGAGAGUGUCUGAAUUUCUCUCUUCCAUAUAUGCUCCAUCCCCUCCAGGGACUUGAAAAGGUUUUGCACCCAGGGACCUUGAGUUCUCUGCCCUUUUUUGUUCACAUGCACACACUUCUUUCCCUUUAGUGUGGUUCUUAAGUUCCCCAGUGGAGUUCAGUCCCUGGUAUUGCAGUCUGUCCUGUGGCUUUUUCCUGCAAUGCUCUGGAAAUAUAUUUCUUACUUAGAAGGAAACUCAUCUGAGGAGACAUGCAAACAACCCUGAAAACCCUGUGUAUCCUCAGAGCUUCCAUGUUGCUUAAAGCUGACAUUCUUAGAAGAAACACAAUGCUGCUUGUGAGGGCAUUGACAGCUGCUGCCCUCCUAGACUUGGGCUCCCAUGAGACAAGAUUAGAGGACUCCUCUCUUAUCCCACUUUAACUCAAACCCUAUCUGCCAAGCUCUUUAAGUGCUCUCCCUGGUCUUGUUCAAUGACGACUUCCUUUGAGGGAAGAAUCUUGAUAAAAGUGCAUGGGCGUCUCCUGCCCAUCUUCUGACUGGCACUGUUCACUUGGAUUUUACUUCUGUAGUUUGUCUGGAGACCCUUGCCUAUCAAUGUGCUUCCUCUCAUCGCUAGGGUUCUGCCUGCCCUUGUUUUCCUCUCUGAUGUUCCCAAAGGGCUUCGCUGAUGUCUGCGCCUCUUUCCUGGGAUGUCCCCUUACUCCACCCUUUGUACACACCAGUGACCAAAGUGUAUGCAGUGGUUUCAACACAAGACAUCAAAAUGGUGCAGGCACCUCUAGUGUGCUCACAGACAUGUGCACAAGAUUCUGCACCCUUGGCCUUAAUUUCAGCACGACUUAAGGUGCAGGAACAUUUUUAACAGGUUUAAAAAAAAAUCUCUUCUGGGAGGGAAAAUAAACCAGACCCAACCACUCAACUAUCCCCACUCCCCAACUCCCCACAAUCUGCUUACAACUUCUCAUUCUGCAUCCACCCCAGCCCUGCUCUGCGCAACCAAAAUCAACAACAAAAGCAACCUGAGGUGAGGUUUCUGGACUGUUUUAUCUUUCUCCCUUUAGAUGGAGAUACAAAUGCUGCUUUGGGUUCUGUAAUCCUAGGGGGCUAUGUUUACAUAGUGAAAUUCAUUCUACCAAAUCAGGAAACAGUGAGUGGGAGACCCUUCAGCAAGAGGUCACUGAGGCUGAACCAGAGGUGAGAGGACCUGGGGAUGUGGCAGAGGAGGAGAGAGAUGUUAUUUAACUCAUUGUGACACCCUGUUCACUCCUUCCUCUCUGCUCUCAGUGUCCCUUUUUGCCCCUUUAAUCAAAAAGGUUUAGAGAAAGGCACCAGAAGGAGGCUGAAGUUUUAAGAGGCAGCUUUCCAACCUUGCACACAAACAGAAGGUACCGCAAAAAUCCUCUCAUCUGAAACACUCAGCAGAAACAACCUAUCAAAAGGACUAAAUCGCUGCACACGUUGAUGCUCUCUGCAAGUUACCUAUAAGUGUUUUGUUUUCUUAUACUUGAAAUUGCUUUUAUAUUAUUUUGGUGACUUUCUUUUCUUUUUACAGAUGGGCAAUAGAAACUGCAGGUGAUAAGUUUUACAGAUGUUUGAGGGGAGAAAAGGAUGUGGCAUUGUCUUUUUUAACCUAGAGGUUCAGUCAGACUCCCAUAUGGCAAAGUUGCUCAUCUUACUGGUUUAACAUGGACACAGAAACUAGGCACUUUGGUGGUUCACUUGCACGGCAGGCCGGCCCCCUUUCUAUAUUUUAUUUUACUUUUUUAGUAUAGUGGUACUUAAAAUCACUGGUUCACUUAAAAGAAAUGUUAAACUCUACUAAUGUACAAAUAAGCUGAAAAGUUGCAUUUUAUGUGUAUUUUUUGCCAUAGCAGGUACUGUAUUUCUCAUGCUGGAUUUCAAAGUGUGUAUAUAUAUAUAUAUACAUAUACAUAUAUAUAUGUACAUAUAUAUGUAUAUAUAUAUAUGUAUAUCAAAAACAAACAAACUGAAGGGUGGUGUUUUACCGGGUUGUGGCAGGGUGAGUGAUAAGGAAUGAAGUCGUAGUCAUUUCAUUAAAACUGAGAGGUGAUGUAAUGCAUAUAGAAACGUUUUCUGAAAGGUUUUUUUUUUUUUGGAGGGGGGCUUUUAAACAGCUUAUUUUUUGUUUAGUUUUUAUUUUAUUUUGGAAAGAUAUGAUUGUAUUAUGUGCAACUCAGUUGCUUACAUUAUAACUACAAAUAUUUUUGAGUUCCUGGAAAAAGAAAAAAAAAAGAAAAAAGACUAAUAAAUGUGUUUGGCUGCUAAGCAUUUAC